CGACAUGACAGCUCAUGUUGGGGAUUUCGGUCUAGCAAAGUUUCUCCCAGAAGUCUCAAAUCCAAACCAAAGCAGCUCUGUUGGCGUAAGAGGAACAAUAGGCUAUGCAGCCCCAGAGUAUGGUCUUGGAAGUGAGAUGUCGACAGAUGGGGAUGUCUACAGUUAUGGGAUCUUGUUGUUAG